rnacentral:rRNA from 1 species
AUUGAACGCUGGCGGCAGGCCUAACACAUGCAAGUCGAGCGGUAGCACAGGAGAGCUUGCUCUCUGGGUGACGAGCGGCGGACGGGUGAGUAAUGUCUGGGAAACUGCCUGAUGGAGGGGGAUAACUACUGGAAACGGUAGCUAAUACCGCAUAAUGUCGCAAGACCAAAGAGGGGGACCUUCGGGCCUCUUGCCAUCAGAUGUGCCCAGAUGGAUUAGCUAGUAGGUGGGGUAACGGCUCACCUAGGCGACGAUCCCUAGCUGGUCUGAGAGGAUGACCAGCCACACUGGAACUGAGACACGGUCCAGACUCCUACGGGAGGCAGCAGUGGGGAAUAUUGCACAAUGGGCGCAAGCCUGAUGCGGCCAUGCCGCGUGUAUGAAGAAGGCCUUCGGGUUGUAAAGUACUUUCAGCGAGGAGGAAGGCAUUGUGGUUAAUAACCACAGUGAUUGACGUUACUCGCAGAAGAAGCACCGGCUAACUCCGUGCCAGCCGCCGCGGUAA